rnacentral:rRNA from 1 species
UACGGAGGGUGCAAGCGUUAUCCGGAUUCACUGGGUUUAAAGGGUGCGUAGGUGGGUAGGUAAGUCAGUGGUGAAAUCUCCAAGCUUAACUUGGAAACUGCCGUUGAUACUAUUUAUCUUGAAUAUAGUGGAGGUGAGCGGAAUAUGUCAUGUAGCGGUGAAAUGCUUAGAUAUGACAUAGAACACCAAUUGCGAAGGCAGCUUGCUACACUACUAUUGACACUGAGGCACGAAAGCGUGGGGAUCAAACAGG